CUAGAGAGGCCCUUAGCUACAGCUACACUGUCAGGUGUGGUUAGCUAGCUGAAGUUAAAUAAAAGCUCUAUAUGUAUGUAUGAUUCAGAUGGGAUUAAUCUUGGAGUGAAAUGCUUAAUUAAUUUCCUGAAUAUUUGCGUUUCAGUUGUUCUAGCUGCUGCUGCUGGUUUUUGAUUUUUUGUUUUGUUGUAAUGCUAUUGGAUGUGCUGGAAGGGAGCAAUGCUUGGAUUUGGAAUGUAGGCCCCAAAACAAUUUUGACUCUAAAAGAAACUAAAAACCUAAAAAGACUAACAAUUUUUUUUUUAAUCUUUUUUUUUUUAAACAAACAAUUUAAACUCGAAUUAAAAUUUAUAAAUCUCUUCCCCCACACUUAAUUUCUACUUUGUCCUCAAUAUACGUAAAUCAAUUUAAAAGCAUCCAAGGUAAAAAUAAAAGCAUAGGCUUAAAUUAAACAUUGAUGGAUCAUUCCGCAAUGAGUCGGACUGUGGUGGAUUUUGGAGUGGUGUUUCGAAAAGAGUUUGGAAGCUUUAAAGGGGUGUGGUCUAAUCUUCUGCCUCAUCUAUACUCAAGGCUGAGCCUCCCAACUUGACUGGAUUCCAAACUUUUUAUUUUUUAUUUUUUUAAAAGCAUGGGCAAAGAGAUUUCAAAAGAAAUAAAAACCUAAAACAAAUAUAUGGAGCAUUAAUUUCAUAAAUUAAAAGGAGUAAGGGAUUAAGAAAUUAAUUUUGCGUUGACGAUCUUCUCCACAGCUACUGUUGAAUUGGGUUGCCUCCCCAACAGUGCUUGAAUUUAAUGUCCUUCAGCCAAACAAAGUUUUUUUUUUUUUUUUUUUUUUCAAAAUCCAUGGGAGAUGGCACACUAUGGAGGUAAUCCACCUCCACGUUGCUCUCCUUAAAUGCCUCAUAAUAUGGCCUCAAGCAAUGGUCAUUCACUUUGAACUCGUGGCCGGACUUCUCACUUUGAAUUUGUAUAGCACCAUGAGGAAAAACAUGAGUAAUAGUGAAAGGACCAACCCAACAAGAAUGAAGCUUACCAGGGAAGAGUUUAAGACGAGAAUAAAAUAAUAAAACUUUUUGGCAUUCUUCCAUAACUCCUAUCUUAUGCUAUGAGCUGUUUUUUGCUUUCUAAGGAGUUAUGUAAUGAUUUGCACCAAAUGUGCGCCAGGUUUUGGUGGGGGAGCAAACCUAAUGAAAGAAAAAUUCAUUGGAUUUCAUGGGAGCGCCUGAGUCGCUCUAAAGAGGAGGGAGCUCGAUAUUUUCCGCAUUCUUCUUGUUGGCAUGCUCGGACACCGACACAUGCUUCUGUAUGUUGGAGAGGGAUCUAUGCUGCUAGAUCCGUGCUAAAUGGGGGAUUAAGAUGGCAAGUCAUGGAUGGUACUUAAUUCCAUUAAAAUUUGGGAGGAUCCGUGGAUUCCCAGGUCUUCUUUGUCCGGUGAGCUCUUACGGACAACUUUUCUUCUAGUGCAUCUCCAAGUCCUUGGAAGGUGUUGUGGGCUGCUCACAUUUCUUGUAAGGUGAAGGUACACAUUUGGAAAGCUUGUGCUUCUAUUCUUCCAACUGCCUCUCAACUUAGAGGGCGCAGGGUUCCAGUUGGUGAGUGUAGUCUAUUUUGUAAAGCUGAGGGGAAAGUAUUCUCCAUGUUAGUAGGGAGUGUAGUUUCAUUCGUGAUGUUAUUGGACUACCACCGGAUUUGCUUCCUAUUCUGGACACUACUAUGAGUUCUAUGCUUGAUUGGCUUGUACUUUGCAAUAAUUUGGUUUCUCCAAGUUCUUUCUCUCUAUUGCUAAUGCUGUUGUGGGGGUAUGGAAAGAACGCAAUCAACAUCUAUGGGCUAGAAAUUAAGGCACAUAAUGUGCAGCAGGUAUACUUUCAAUCUGCUCUCUUCUUCAUGCUUUUGAAGCUGCAAGGCAUAUAUCAAAGCCCAAGCUUGGGCGUCAGGUGAAGCCGUGGUGCCCCCAUUCUACAGGUUGGUUAAAGGUAAACAUUAAUAGUGUCUUUGAUCCAACUUCACAUCAGGGUGGUCUGGGGGUUGUGGUGAGGGAUCUUACUAGUACGUUGGUAGCAACCGCAUGCAGAAGGUGUACUGAUGUUCUAGCUACUAUUGUGGUGGAUGCCCUUGCUAGUAGAUUGGCGUGUAAGCUUGUAGAUAACAGUUUGACUCCGGUGAUAUUUGAGUCUAAUUGUCUUCAACUAGUUCAGGCUAUCCAAGCUAAAGGUGAUGAUACUUAUUCGGAAUUUGGUAGAAUUGUUUAUGAUAUCUCCAUGGCAAUUUCUUCUAUGUCAGGUUCUUUCUUUUCCCAUGUCUAUAGGGAUUCCAAUAAGCUAGCUCAUAGUUUAGUUAAGCAUGCUCUUGUGUCAGGGUUGCAAGUCUCAUGGAGUGGGCAUGUCCCUCCAAUACUUGAUGAUUUCUUUUGUAAUACGUAGUAUUCAUCAAUGAAAUUUGACGUCCUUUGA